rnacentral:rRNA from 1 species
GAUGAACGCUGGCGGCGUGCCUAAUACAUGCAAGUCGAGCGAACGGACGAGAAGCUUGCUUCUCUGAUGUUAGCGGCGGACGGGUGAGUAACACGUGGAUAACCUACCUAUAAGACUGGGAUAACUUCGGGAAACCGGAGCUAAUACCGGAUAAUAUUUUGAACCGCAUGGUUCAAAAGUGAAAGACGGUCUUGCUGUCACUUAUAGAUGGAUCCGCGCUGCAUUAGCUAGUUGGUAAGGUAACGGCUUACCAAGGCAACGAUGCAUAGCCGACCUGAGAGGGUGAUCGGCCACACUGGACCUGAGACACGGUCCAGCCUCCUACGGGAGGCAGCAGUAGGGAAUCUUCCGCAUAGGGCGAAAGCCUGACGGAGCAACGCCGCGUGAGUGAUGAAGGUCUUCGGAUCGUAAAACUCUGUUAUUAGGGAAGAACAUAUGUGUAAGUAACUGUGCACAUCUUGACGGUACCUAAUCAGAAAGCCACGGCUAACUACGUG